AUUGAACGCUGGCGGAAGGCCUAACACAUGCACGUCGAGCGGAGCGGCGGACGGAUGAGUAAUGCCUAGGAAUCUGCCUGGUAGUGGGGGAUAACGUCCGGAAACGGGCGCUAAUACCGCAUACUAUCAGAUGAGCCUAGGGCGGCUUAGCUGUUGGGUGUGGGAAAGGCAUACCAAGGCGACGAUCCGUAACUGUGCUGAGAGGAUGAUCAGUCACACUGGAACGGAGACACGGUCCAGAAUCCGACGGGAGGCAGCAGUGGGGAAUAGUGGACAAUGGGCGAAAGCCUGAUCCAGCCAUGCCGCGUGUGUGAAGAAGGUCUUCGGAUUGUAAAGCACUUUAAGUUGGGAGGCGUUACCAACAGAAUAAGCACCGGCUAACGUCGUGCCAGCCGCCGCGGUAAUUC
rnacentral:rRNA from 1 species